AUGAAGCUCAUUCUUGCCUUCUCCAUUCUCUUCCUCUCCUGUAUCUAUGGCGCGAGCUCCGACUCACGCUUCUUCACCGCCAUGUAUUCCCUCGGGGACUCCUACAUCGACGCCGGCAACUUUGUGAUCAUGGCGGCUGCGUUGGUCCCGCCUUUUCCUUCCUGGCAUGACAGGCUUCCUUAUGGCAUGACCUUCUUUGGCCACCCCACAGGCCGCCUCAGCGACGGCAGAAACACCAUCGAUUUCAUCGCCCAGGAGUUUGGUCUCCCCCUUCUUGGACCUCUGCUGAAUGACUCGGACGCCUCCAAAGGCGUAAACUUCGCUGUCGGCGGCGCACCGGUGAUCGACGUCGACUACUUCGAGAGGAACAAUAUAGUUCAAUUUAAGCUGCUCAACAAUUCUCUGAGCGUGCAGUUGGGCUGGUUCGAGGAACUCAGGCCAGUGAUUUGCAACAAGACCGAGACCUCAGGGUGCGGAGGUUGCUUCAGCAAGGCUCUCUUCUUCGUUGGGGAGUUUGGAGUGAACGACUACAACUUCCUGUGGUUUGCCGGCAAGACUGAAGACGAAGUGAUGUCGCAUGUACCUACAGUUGUCCAAAACAUUGCCACGGCCGUGGAGAACCCACCGCUGGGGUGCUCACCCACCAUGCUGACGAGCCGCUCCGGCCUCAACACGACGGAGUACGACCCCAUGGGCUGCCUCAUCGACGUCAACCGCGUGGCCACGCACCACAACUCCCGGCUCCGUACUGCAAUAGUCUCUCUCAGGGGCAAGUACCCCCGUGCCACCAUCAUCUUGGCCGACUUCUACAGCCCCAUCAUCAAGAUCCUCCGCAACCCCAGCCAUUACGGGAUGGCCGAGGCGGACGCUCUCCGGGCCUGCUGCGGAGCCGGCGGCACUUACAACUGGAACGGCAGCGCCAUCUGCGGCAUGCCGGGGGCGACCGCCUGCGAGAACCCGUCGGCGUUCGUCAACUGGGAUGGAGUUCACUACACGGAGGCCACCAACGGGUACAUCGCCGACUGGUGGCUCAACGGCCCUUUCGCCGACCCGCCUAUAAUGAGUGUUGUUCGCUACUGA
rnacentral:rRNA from 1 species